rnacentral:rRNA from 1 species
AUACGGAGGAUGCAAGCGUUAAUCGGAAUUACUGGGCGUAAAGCGUACGUAGGCGGUUUAUUAAGUCAGAUGUGAAAGCCCCGGGCUUAACCUGGGAACUGCAUUUGAAACUAGUAGACUAGAGUAUGGUAGAGGGGGGUAGAAUUCCUAGUGUAGCGGUGAAAUGCGUAGAUAUUAGGAGGAAUACCAGUGGCGAAGGCGGCCCCCUGGACCAAUACUGACGCUGAGGUACGAAAGCGUGGGGAGCGAACAGGAUUAGAUACCCGAGUAGUCC